rnacentral:rRNA from 1 species
GAGGGGGAGCUAAUCCCAUAAAGCCAGUCGUAGUCCGGAUCGUAGUCUGCAACUCGACUACGUGAAGUCGGAAUCGCUAGUAAUCGUGGAUCAGAAUGUCACGGUGAAUACGUUCCCGGGUCUUGUACACACCGCCCGUCACACCAUGGGAGCGGGUUCUGCCAGAAGUAGUUAGCCUAACCGCAAGGAGGGCGAUUACCACGGCAGGGUUCGUGACUGGGGUG